rnacentral:lncRNA from 1 species
ACAGUGUGACUUGUGUGUCCACUCUUUGUUUGAGCCUUGAUUUCCACUUUUGUGAGUGGGAUUUCCCUUAGCACCAUCAUAAGAAACUCCUUGUCCUUUGUUAGAAAAGUGACGUUUCUCAGCAGCAUUGGCAAAGCUAUUUUGCUCCUCCACAAUAGCUUGUCCUGGUAGUUGUUGCCUUUCAUAUUGAAUGACCAUAGAGAAGACUCUAUUGGUUGAAGGCAGUGGUUCCAUGAGAAACAGAAAAAUGCUCAGCAAGUCCUUUAAGGAAGCGAAUAAUGAAAUCCUGGUCGUGGUAGACUUUGGCUGAGCAGGUGCAUGCAUGGAAUCAUGGGACGGUAAUUGUCGAGUUCCUCCCAAAUUGACUUUAGCUUUGUGUAGUAAUCUGUUACAGUGUGUGAUCCUUGCUUGAGUCCAUAAACUUCCUCUUGAAGUUCUACAAUACGAAGCAAAUCUCCUUGGGAAAAUCGUUCCAUAUAUUAAUAGCACGAUCAAAGUAUAAAACACUUUGUGAUAUUAACUGAGACAAUGAAUUCAAAAGCCAAGACAUAGUGAGUGUAU